rnacentral:rRNA from 1 species
ACGACUCCGCACCGGAUAUCUCGGCUUCGCAUUCGUAUUGAAGAACGUAGCAGAAAUCAUACGUUGGUGUGAAUUUGCAGAAUCCCGUGAACCAUCGAGUCUUUGACGCAAGUUGCCCCCGAAGCCGUUAGUGCGAGGCACGUCUGCCUGGGCGUCA